rnacentral:rRNA from 1 species
GAUGAACGCUGGCGGCGUGCCUAAUACAUGCAAGUCGAGCGAACGGACGAGAAGCUUGCUCCUCUGAUGUUAGCGGCGGACGGGUGAGUAACACGUGGAUAACCUACCUAUAAGACUGGGAUAACUUCGGGAAACCGGAGCUAAUACCGGAUGAUAUUUUGAACCGCAUGGUUCAAAAGUGAAAGACGGUUUUGCUGUCACUUAUAGAUGGAUCCGCGCCGCAUUAGCUAGUUGGUAAGGUAACGGCUUACCAAGGCAACGAUGCAUAGCCGACCUGAGAGGGGGAUCGCCCCCCCGGAACCGGGGCACCGUCCCGGACCCCUCGGGGGGGCGCCGGUGGGGAUCCUUCCCCAUUGGCCGAAGGCCUGCCGAGCCACCGCGGGUGGGGUGUGAAGGUUCUUCGAUUCUUAAACCUCUGUUAUUGGGAAGGAACAUUUUGGAAGGUACCAGUGCCGAUUUGACCGUUACUAAUCCAGAAGGCCCCGCCUACCACCUU